rnacentral:lncRNA from 1 species
GAACACCCAAACCUAAAGCAUAUUCAUAACCACGGUUUUUUCUUCAUUUGCAAUAGAGUUAUAACAACAAAAUAAAAACAAAAACAUAACCUUAUAACAACAAAAACAUCACAGUGCGAGAACAUGAUACAUGAAAACAUCACAUAGCCUUAUAACAACGAAAACAUCACAAAAUCUGAAUAAACCAAAACAAAAAGUAAUCCAAUUGCAAUAAAAUAAAAAUU